rnacentral:hammerhead_ribozyme from 1 species
AUCCAGCUGACGAGUCCCAAAUAGGACGAAACGUGCGUUAUUGAU